rnacentral:rRNA from 1 species
GAAAUGUAGCGUAUAGGAGGGUCGUUACUCCCGAGGCGGGCGAGACCGGUCCAAGUCCCUCUUGAAGGGGGCCACGGCCCUGAGAAGGUGCCAGGCCUGUGGGACGGUCGCC